UAGGGAAUAUUGCUCAAUGGGGGAAACCCUGAAGCAGCAACGCCGCGUGAGUGAUGAAGGCCUUCGGGUCGUAAAGCUCUGUUCUAGGGGGCGAAUGUCGGUAUGGCUAACAUCCAUAUCGAGUGACAGUACCCUAGGAGAAAGCACCGGCUAACUUCGUGCCAGCAGCCGCGGUAAGACGGGGGGUGCAAGCGUUGUUCGGAAUCAUUGGGCGUAAAGCGCGUGCAGGUGGCUUUGUAAGUCAGAUGUGAAAGCCCCGGGCUUAACCCGGGAAGUGCAUUUGAAACUGCAAGGCUUGAGUAUCGAAGAGGGUCGUGGAAUUCCUGGUGUAGUGGUGAAAUACGUAGAUAUCAGGAGGAACACCGGUGGCGAAGGCGGCGACCUGGUCGAAUACUGACACUCAUACGCGAAAGCGUGGGUAGCAAACAGG
rnacentral:rRNA from 1 species